rnacentral:tRNA from 1 species
AAGGAAAUGGAAGACGUUUGUCUUGUCUUAUUUAGUUUUGAGAGGUCUUGAAUAGUACCACGACUAAUAAUGUAAAACCAUUUUAUUAGUAGGGGCCUUAGCUCAGCUGGGAGAGCGCCUGCUUUGCACGCAGGAGGUCAGCGGUUCGAUCCCGCUAGGCUCCAUUAUCUAGGAAACAAAGAGAUGUUCGGCUAGCCGAAAUUUCUGUAGAAAAAUAGGACACAGACGCUGUGUGCUUGCACACAAGGAAGUUUAUCUUUUUUCCUAAGACAUUAAUCUCGUGUACAACUAGAUAAAAGAUAUUUGAAUACAAUCCUAAACUUACUAGGAAUACGUCAAAGCCAUCUCGUGUCAAAGACACAUCACUGGUUAGUACCUUAUACUCCGCAAGUUUAGCGACAAGUCGCACCGGAUUUUAGUAUCAUCAUAGUCCAUUGACAUUUGAUCAACUAUUUCAAAUUCCACGAUCAUGCACCUGAUUGUAGAAAAGUAACAAAGAAAUAACGAACAAAGAUAAAGCGAACAUAUAAAAAAUCAGCAGGUCGAGACGGCACACGGUAUAA